AUUUACUUGGCAUCUUGGUUGAAAAUCAACUGACCAAACACAUUUUGCGGGGGUUGCUGCAAGCUGCCUUGGAAGGAUUUCUCUCUGCGCCUCUUACCUCCAGCCUUCUGAGGGUGCCUGCCUUAGUUUCAGUGGCCCACACACUGGAAGAUCUCUCAGGAGGAUCCUCAGCCCUGCUGUCAGCCUUUCAGUGUAGUACACGUGGAGACCUGUGGGAAAGAGUCUUUGGGUUGAUAAGGUAUCUAAUCAUUUGGACAGAGAGCUCAAUCCCUUCUGCUCAGAGAUUCAGAAAUCUGACCUACAAAGAGCCUCGCUCCACCAAUGGGAGGUAAUGUUAUGAUUUCGUUCCCCUACAACCACCUCUGAAA